AAUUUCUGGCUUGGCAAUUUUGGCCCGGUACGGUAACGUACUGUUUGUGCUGACUGUUGCCGGUCAUCCUUCUGGGUUUAACGUGUCGUGCCCUUCACGGGGUUGCGGCGCGCGAACCAGAUCUUUUACUUUGAAAAAAUUAGAGUGUUUAAAGCAGGCGUUUUGCUAUGAAUACAUUAGCAUGGAAUAAUAAUUUAGGACUUCGGUUCUAUUUUGUUGGUUUCUAGGACUGAAGUAAUGAUUGAUAGGGAUAGUUGGGGGUGCUAGUAUUCAGCGGCCAGAGGUGAAAUUCUCGGAUUCGCUGAAGACUAACUUAUGCGAAAGCAUU
rnacentral:rRNA from 1 species